UGUCUUCCUAAUCCUCUGGACCCAGUGCCUUUAAAUAGUUGCUGACCUCCGAGGCUCAGCACAGAUGCAGUGAGGAAGGACAGUGGUUAUUGGUUAUUGUGAUGAGUUUCUCUUUCAAUAGACUCCUAUGUAUUAUCAGGCUGGAUGGGUACCAUAACAAUAUUAACGUAUCAGAACUGGUUGAUUUAAAAGGAGGCUCAGGCUGGGUGAGACUGCCAGCCAGAACACAGAGCAGUGUGACAGGACUCAAGCUCACGCCUUUCACUAGGAAACUUCUGUUUCCUGCUUCUGAGCAACCUCAGCAGAGCUCAGCUAUUCUCUCAUCCCCCACCUCACCAGGCUCACAUCACAGCUCAGAGCAGUGAAUCUGAAGAAAACUUUCCUUCUGGGUAGUAAAAGCAAGCAUGUCUCUCUCUGGGAUGCUGAAGCUGCUCACGGCCUCCACAUGGCUGGGAUUCAGUAUUGCCCAGAAGGUAACUCAAGCCCAGCCUCCAGUGUCAGUGGAGGAGAUGGAGGCUGUGAUCCUGCAAUGCACCUAUGACACCAGUGAUACAGGUUACAGUCUCUUCUGGUACAAGCAGCCCAGCAGUGGGGAGAUGGUCUUACUCAUUCGCCAGAACUCUUAUGACACACAGAAUGCAACAGCAGGUCGCUACUCCUUGCAUUUCCAGAAAGCAGGCAAAUCCAUCCACCUUAUCAUCUCGGCUUCACAGCUGGAGGACUCAGCAGUGUAUUUCUGUGCACUGAGAGGAAACACAGUGUAAGGACUGUUGUGGGGAGGAGAACAAAAACCCCAGGUCUGCCUCAGACAGCCACCUGCUGCAGAGGCCAAGGAAGAGAGCCACCACCUCCCACAGGAAAUAGCUAGGAC